rnacentral:piRNA from 1 species
UGGGAACGAGAAGGCACUCAUGGAGGAGUC